rnacentral:rRNA from 1 species
CCCUUAGAUGUUCUGGGCCGCACGCGCGCUACACUGAUGCAUUCAACAAGCCUAGCCUUGACCGAGAGGUCCGGGUAAUCUUUGAAACUGCAUCGUGAUGGGGCUAGAUUAUUGCAAUUAUUAAUCUUCAACGAGGAAUGCCUAGUAAGCGUGAUUCAUCAAAUCGCGUUGAUUACGUCCCUGCCCUUUGUACACACCGCCCGUCGCUCCUACCGAUUGAAUGAUCCGGUGAAUAAUUCGGACUGCGGCAUUGACCGGUUCCCGAUCGUUGCUGCGGAAAGUUUAGUGAACCUUAUCACUUAGAGGAAGGAGAAGUCGUAACA